UCUGUCACUGACGCUGAGGCUCGAAAGCGUGGGUAGCGAACAGGAUUAGAUACCCUGGUAGUCCACGCCGUAAACGAUGAGUGCUAGGUGUCAGGCCCUUUCCGGGGCUUAGUGCCGGAGCUAACGCAAUAAGCACUCCGCCUGGGGAGUACGACCGCAAGGUUGAAACUCAAAGGAACUGACGGGGGCCCGCACAAGCGGUGGAGCAUGUGGUUUAAUUNGAAGCAACGCGAAGAACCUUACCAGGUCUUGACAUCCCGAUGCUAUUCUUAGAGAUAGGAAGUUACUUCGGUACAUCGGAGACAGGUGGUGCAUGGUUGUCGUCAGCUCGUGUCGUGAGAUGUUGGGUUAAGUCCCGCAACGAGCGCAACCCUUAUUGUUAGUUGCCAUCAUUAAGUUGGGCACUCUAGCGAGACUGCCGGUAAUAAACCGGAGGAAGGUGGGGAUGACGUCAAAUCAUCAUGCCCCUUAUGACCUGGGCUACACACGUGCUACAAUGGUCGGUACAACGAGUUGCGAGCCGGUGACGGCAAGCUAAUCUCUGAAAGCCGAUCUCAGUUCGGAUUGGAGGCUGCAACUCGCCUCCAUGAAGUCGGAAUCGCUAGUAAUCGCGGAUCAGCACGCCGCGGUGAAUACGUUCCCGGGCCUUGUACACACCGCCCGUCACACCACGAGUGUUUGUAACNCCCGA
rnacentral:rRNA from 1 species